CAUAGUUUUAUAAUAGGUAAUCACGUUUAGUUCCUCAUAGAUCUUCAUAGUUUUAUAAUAGGUUAUCACGUUUAGUUCCUGAAUUCAUUCAAAAAAGGUAAGUCAUACAAAGUUUAGAUUAGUUUUCAUUUUAAGUUAAACCACGCUCAAAUAUUCAGUUCCACUG